UUCUCCUAACUUUACUUUCCCUUAAAGGCAUAAGUUCUCCAGACACAAAUUCUUCUACCACUAGGGUUUUCCAGAGUCUGAACCCAGUGGCCAAGAAGAGAAGACUGACUUUUUUGGCCCCAAACAGCCUGCCCUCGUGGGCAACAGGUAGCUUACUUCAGGCUGGAAGACAGCCUUAUGGCAAGGAGGUCCCCAGGGAAGGCCUCACCUCUGAGUCCAGGUCCACUGGCCAAUGAGGAUGAGCGGAGGUGACGACACUACAUCCUAUUUCCCAGCCCAGCCUGAGAGGACGGGACCAGCUGAGGAAAAGAGCCAAUACUACAAGGAAACAGGGCUAAGACAAAGACAAAAACAGAAGAAACCAACGUGCUCUUCUGAGAAGUUAUAAGGGGGUCAAGAGAGGUCCUUAAUUAAACAUCGGAGAUCAAGGCUGGAGAAAAGCCGCAGACCAGGACCCUUGACAAAUCCAAUCAGAUUUGCUACACAGCUAAGAAAGUUAAAAGACUCAGAGUCAAUGAAUUCUCCAUAAGCUGAAGGAGGACCAGGCUUACACUAAUAAUAAUAAAGGGCCCCAGCAUUGGUAAUGAAGAUAGUGGUUUAUGCCCAGGU